GCGCAUGUGGACAGCCCAUCCCGAGGGAAAAAUCAGGGGAGAGGAGACUGGGCAUAUGCCAACUUAUAAAACACCAAGUUGAAGGUGAAACCACAGAAUUGGCUCUUUCAACUUGCCUGCUUGGCCCUCUUCCAAUCAGAUUUCAGACUUCAAAAAAUCCUGUGGAGUGACUCACUGAGGAAAACACUGAGUUUUCCUGCCAACACCAGUACCAACUUGCCAGCCAUCUGAAAGAGCCAUCUUGAAGGCAAAUGCUCUAGCCUCAGAGCAAACCUUCAGAUGACUGCAACUCCAGCCAACAUCUUGAAGUCUCAUGAAAGGCCCUGAGACAGAACCACCCCAAUUAUCUACUUUCAAAUUUCUAACAUAUAUAUGUGAGAGACAAUGAAGAUUUCUCAUUGUUUAA